GUUCUAGGGGGAGCCAAAGAUAACCGUAAAAUCCACAUAUUUAAAAGUCUUAUAACUUUUUAUUUUUGUCCCCACUGGCCUCCAAGUUUUCUAGGAUGAUGCAAUGUCCAGCCAUCAACACAUUUGUGAAGGAAUUUUUACUCGCCAAAAGAGCGCCCCCCCAUGGCAGGAGAAAAAAGUCAAUUUUUUCUUGUCCACUAAGGUGAAAAUACACAUUGUUGAGUGCUACGCCUGUAUGUUUUGUCGUAUUGACACAAAAUUUUACAUACACGUGUCUUUCAAUAAGAUCUUCGAAAAAGUCAAUGGCCACGUAUCUGUAAAAUGUACGGUUAAAGGGUUAUUUCGCAUUUUUUGCAGAUUCGCACACAUUGGAAUUUCGCUAACUCCUCCGAAGGCUUUCGUUCCACCGGCACCACAUUUGCUCAGGCCAAUCUACACCCCAUGGCCAUUAAAAGUUAUUCAAAUCAUGACGCUGCACCCCACGGUUUAGAUUCUAGGGGGCGCCAAAGAUAACCCUAAAAUCCACAUAUUUAAAAGUCUUAUAACUUUUUAUUUUUGUCCUCACUGGCCUCCAUGUUUUCUAGGAUGAUGCAAUGUCCAGCCAUCAACACAUUUGUGAAGGAGUUUUUUCUCGUUAAAAGAGCGCCCCCCCCGGCAGGAGAAUAAAGUCAAGUUUUUCCUGUUCAUCAUUCAAUGGCUCAAACGCACUGCUCUCUCGGCAAAAGCGAAAGGAGGAGCAACUUGCCAUUUGGAUAUAUCUUAGCUGUGUUUGUGCCCUCACUCAUGGUCCAGACUUUUUUCAAAUAGGACAUGGAGUUUUUCUGCAGCGAGCGUUUUGGUAGAAACUGCGCCUCCCGUUCAUUAUAAUGGUAAAUGACCACAAACAAGUGCGCACACCAUCUUUGGACCUUGAGUGUGACGCGAUCGGGUGGGGGAGGCGGUCGCGCUGGGGGCGGCGUGACACGGCUCGGGCCCGCCAGUGCCCCAACGGGGCCCUAGUUCUUCUUUUUCCUCCCCUUUGAACUGGAAAAUGGCCCACUUCCCACUGGCGAAAACUCAUGAAAUUUGGCAGGACGACCGGGCCUGGUGAAAAAUUCGAUAUUCUGAAGUCGCCCAAACAAUAAAAUGCAAAAUGGCUCCAUAGCGCCCCCUAAGGUGGAAAUUCACACUAUUGACUGUCACGUCUGUACGCUUUGUCAUAUUGACACAAAAAUUGACACACAUAUGUAUCUCAAUAAGAUCUACAAAAAAGUCAGUGCGGCCGUAUCUGUCAAAAUUACGGUUAAAGGGUUAUUUCGCAUUUUUUGCCGAUCCGCACACAUUGGAAUUUCGCUAACUCCUCCGAAGGCUUUCGUUCCACCGGCACCACAUUUGCUCAGGCCAAUCUACACCCCGUGGCCAUUAAAAGUUAUCAAAAUCAUGACGCUGCACCCCAAGGUUUAGGUUCUAGGGGGCGCCAAAGAUAACACUAAAAUCCACAUAUUUAAAAGUCUUAUAACUUUUUAUUUUUGUCCUCACUGGCCUCCAAGUUUUCUAGGAUGAUGCAAUGUCCAGCCAUCAACACAUUUGUGAAGGAAUUUUUACUCCCCAAAAGAGCGCCCCCCAUGGCAGGAGAAAAAAGUCCAUUUUUUCUUGUCCCCUAAGGUGAAAAUACACAUUGUUGAGUGUCAAGCCUAUACGCUUUGUCAAAAUGACACAAAAUUUGACACACACAUGUAACUCAAUAAGAUCUACAAAAAAGUCCAUGCGCGCGUAUCUGUCAAAUGUACAGUUAAAGGGUUAAUCCGCAUUUUUUGCCGAUACGCACACAUUGGAAUUUCGCUAACUCCUCCGAAGGCUUUCGUUCCACCGGCACCACAUUUGCUCAGGCCAAUCUACACCCCAUGGCCAUUAAAAGUUAUUCAAAUCAUGAUGCUGCACCCCAUGGUUUAGGUUCUAGGGGGCGCCAAAAAUAACCCAAAAAUCCACAUUCUUAAAUGUUUUAUAACUUUUUAUUUUUGUCCUCACUGGCCUCCAAGUUUUCUAGGAUGAUGCAAUGUCCAGCCAUCAACACAUUUGUGAAGGAAUUUUUACUCCCCAAAAGAGCGCCCCCCCAUGGUAGGAGAAAAAAGUCAAUUUUUUCUUGUCCCCUUACAUAAAAAUACACAUUGUUGAGUGUCACGCCUGAACGCUUUGUCAUAUUGACACAAAAAUUGACAAUCAUGUGUAUCUCAAUUAGAUCUACGAAAAAGUCAAAGAGCGCGUAUCUGUAUAAUGUACGGUUAAAGGGCUAUUUUGCAUUUUUUGCCGAUUCGCACACAUUGGAAUGUGGCUAUCUCCUCCUAAGGCUUUCGUCCCACCGAUACCAAAUUUGCUCAGGGCAAUCUACACCCCAUGCCCAUUCAAAGUUGUAAAAAUCAUGACGCUGCACCCCACGGUUUACGUUCUAGGGGGCGCCAAAGAUGACCCAAAAAUCCACAUUCUUAAAAGUCAUUUUGGCCACUGCAGGAGUACAGAGUACUGCAGUUCUAGGGGGCGCCAAAGAUGACCCAAAAAUCCACAUUCUUAAAAGUCUUUUUGGCCACUGCAGGAGUACAGAGUACUGCAGGAUACACACACAUAUACACACACGCCAACAUACACACACACACACACACACACACACACACACACACACAGACACACACCCACACUCAGAGUCUGGUUUUUAGCACCUGCAAAAACAUGCUGUUUACAUAUUUGACAAGAAUGCAGAGGCUUCCUUUUGCCCCUGAAAAAAAUCAAAUUUCAAACACAACUUGACUGUUCAUUUCUCCAAAAGACAACCAUGAAGCUCCAUUUCAAACCUGAAGCAGAUAGUUGGUGCAUGUGUACAGUAACCUGAGGGGAGUGAGGUGACUAUUUCUGAGGAGAACAUGAGCAGUGAAGAUUCACCUUGGAGCUAGAACAGGGACGUGCACAUGAUUAUACAGGGGCAGGGGCUCAAGUUUUUUCCAGUCAUUUAUACAAUAUGGAAAUUAAUGUGAAAUUAAACUACAAAUAUGUGUGAUGAACUGUUUUUAAAACUUAAACUUCAAAUAAAAAUUGUAAACUUCAAAACAUAUGCAAAUUUUUAACAAAGAACAUAGUAAUUUACCUCUAUUUACAUCAAAAUGCAGGCAAUGGCCCAGGCGUUCUUUGUAAAAUUAUUUACAAAACACUGUAUAGUCUCACAAAUGUCACUUUUUAUUUAUGCCACUACAAAAAAACAUGAUGUAAAUGAUGCAUGAUGUAAAACAUGAUGUAAAAAACUUGUGUAGAUCCUCCUCUAUGUCAGUCCAUGUGUAAUUUUUCCAUAAUUCUUUGUUUUUUGCAGCAUUUUUGUUAGUGUAACUGCAGAUUGUGCUGACAGUGUCUAUGGCACAAAAAAAAAAAAAAUUUUUUAAUGCCUCAACAUGAACCCGUGGUGGUCUCUGAGGGUGAAACCUGCUAACUGCUGCAGCUCUGUCAGCUUCAGUCUCCCAUGCAGAGCUCUGAGCGCAUGUGUGGCUCUGCACCCUUAGCAGCGUUGCUAACUCCUCAGUAUGGAAAGCCUGCUUCAUGUCAGAGUCUCUAAACUCCAGAAGAAGUCGAUAAAAGUCCCUUUCUUUCUAAAAAAAAGUCGUUAGGGGGUCUGAAAAGUCAUUGAAUCUAACAACAAAGUCGCUAGGUUUGCAACUACGUGUCCCAGACUGCAUCCCUGCUGAGAGUCCCUCCCUCCCUUCUCAUGUUGCAGGAAGAACGUAAGCGCCCCCCUUGUCAAUCAGUCACCAUAUAAUUUUGGAUUGGUUGUUGUGGUGAAGUUUUCCACCAAUAGGAGAGAUGUUGUGGUGUGUUUUUUUUUUCUUUUGGCAAGCCUUUUCCGCCUGUAAGAACUGUCGCUAAUGUCUGCAUGCUAUGUUUUCCUGUCUCAUACAGCGCGAUCGAGCGCCGAACGUGAUCAAAAUAAGCAGAAAAAAAAUAUCGCGGACAUAAUUUAUCAUAACUCUGGUUUUAUUUGGCCUAUCAACACAAUUUAAAAACUGGUAUAUAGGUUGAGGUCCUCACUUUUGAGAUAAGUUGAAACGGAGAGUCAACGAGGCUCCGUCUUGCAGCUACAUCCGGUUAAAUAUGUCAUGUGACUUGAACGCACACACAGACACACACACACACACACACACACACACACACACACACACACACACACACACACUCAGAGUCUGGUUUUUAGCACCUGCAAAAACAUGCUAUUUACAUAUUUGACAAGAAUGCAGAGGCUCCUUUUGCCCCUGAAAAAAAUCAAAUUUCAAACACAACUUGACUGGUCAUUUCUCCAAAAGACAACCAUGAAGCUCCAUCCAAACCUGAAGCAGGCAGUUGGUGCAUGUGUACAGUAACCUGAGGGGAGUGAGGUGAGUGCUUCUGAGGAGAACAUGAGCAGUGAAGAUUCACCUUGGAGCUAGAACAGAGACAUGCACAUGAUUAUACAGGGGCAGGGGCUCAAGUUUUUUCCAGUCGUUUAUACAAUAUGGAAAUUAAUGUGAAAUUAAAACACAAAGUAUUAAUAGAAAGGUAAUGACUGUCCUGUGUAGGUGACAGUGAUAUCCAAUAGGCUAGGCACUCACGAGGCUGGCUGUGGCAAGUGUAAGUGAAAGCAACACGCACUGGCAGGAAGAACAGCAAACGCCGAUGAAGGAAAAGGGUCUUUGCAGUGAUGGGCGUUACCAGAGAGGGCGAUGGCCAGAGGACACAAAUGGGACGGGGAGGCAGCACGUUGGGGGGGGGGGGGGGGGGGACGCGACACGGCUCGGGCCCGCCAGUGCCCCAACGGGGUCCUAGUUAGGGCCCGAGCGUAGCUGCUAAGCAGCUGCGAGAGCCCUCUUGUUCCUGUAGUUUCCUUCUUUUGUUAUUAGGGCCCGAGCGUAGCUGCUAAGCAGCUGCGAGAGCCCUAUUAUUCCCCAAGGGGUUUUUCUUUGUUUCUUUCUUUCUUCUUUUUCCUCCCCUUUGAACUGGAAAAUGGCCCACUUCCCACUGGCAAAAACUCAUGAAAUUUGGCAGGAUGACCGGGCCUGGUGAAAAAUUUGAUAUUCCGAAGUCGCCCAAACAAGAAAAUGCAAAAUGGCUCCAUAGCGCCCCCUAAGGUGAAAAUUCACACUAUUGACUGUCACGCCUUUACGCUUUGUCAAAAUGACACAAAAAUUGACAAACAUAUGUAUCUCAAUAAGAUCUACAAAAAAGUCAGUGCGGGCGUAUCUGUCAAAUGUACGGUUAAAGGGUUAUUCCGCAUUUUUUGCCGAUCCGCACACAUUGGAAUUUCGCUAACUCCUCCGAAGGCUUUCUUUCCACCGGCACCACAUUUGCUCAGGCCAAUCUACACCCCAUGGCCAUUAAAAGUUAUUCAAAUCAUGACGCUGCACCCCACGGUUUAGGUUCUAGGGGGCGCCAAAGAUAACCCUAAAAUCCACAUAUUUCAAAGUCUUAUAACUUUUUAUUUUUGCCCUCACUGGCCUCCAAGUUUUCUAGGAUGAUGCAAUGUCCAGCCAUUAACACAUUUGUGAAGGAAUUUUUACUCCCCAAAAGAGCGCCCCCCCAUGGCCGGAGAAAAAAGUCCAUUUUUUCUUGUCCCCUAAGGUGAAAAUACACAUUGUUGAGUGUCACGCCUGUACGCUUUGUCAUAUUGACACAAAAUUUGACACACACAUGUAUCUCAAUAAAAUCUACGAAAAAGUCAAUGCGCGCGUAUCUGUCAAAUGUACGGUUAAAGGGUUAUUCCGCAUUUUUUGCUGAUCCGCACACAUUGGAAUUUCGCUAACUCCUCCUAAGGCUGGCGUUCCACCGGCACCACAUUUGCUCAGGCCAAUCUACACCCCAUGGCCAUUAAAAGUUAUUCAAAUCAUGAUGCUGCACCCCACGGUUUAGGUUCUAGGGGGCGCCAAAGAUAACCCUAAAAUCCACAUAUUUCAAAGUCUUAUAACUUUUUAUUUUUGUCCUCACUGGCCUCCAAGUUUUCUAGGAUGAUGCAAUGUCCAGCCAUCAACACAUUUGUGAAGGAAUUUUUACUCCCCAAAAGAGCGCCCCCCCAUGGCAGGAGAAAAAAGUCAGUUUUUUCUUGUCCCGUAAGGUGAAAAUUCACAUUGUUGAGUGUGACACCUGUACGCUUUGUCAUAUUGACACAAAAUUUGACAAUCACGUGUAUCUCAAUAAGAUCUACGAAAAAGUCAAAGCGCGCGUAUCUGUCAAAUGUACGGUUAAAGGGUUAUUCCGCAUUUUUUGACGAUCCGCACACAUUGGAAUGUGGCUAACUCCUCCUAAGGCUUUCGUUCCACCGGCACCACAUUUGCUCAGGCCAAUCUACACCCCAUGGCCAUUAAAAGUUAUUCAAAUCAUGACGCUGCACCCCACGGUUUAGGUUCUAGGGGGCGCCAAAGAUAACCCUAAAAUCCACAUAUUUAAAAGUCUUAUAACUUUUUAUUUUUGUCCUCACUGGCCUCCAAGUUUUCUAGGAUGAUGCAAUGUCCAGCCAUCAACACAUUUGUGAAGGAAUUUUUACUCCCCAAAAGAGCGCCCCCCCAUGGCAGGAGAAAAAAGUCCAUUUUUUCUUGUCGCCUAAGGUGAAAAUUCACAUUGUUGAGUGUGACACCUGUACGCUUUGUCAUAUUGACACAAAAUUUGACAAUCACGUGUAUCUCAAUAAGAUCUACGAAAAAGUCAAUGCGCGCGUAUCUGUCAAAUGUACGGUUAAAGGGCUAUUUUGCAUUUUUUGCCGAUUCGCACACAUUGGAAUGUGGCUAACUCCUCCUAAGGCUUUCGUCCCACUGACACCAAAUUUGCUCAGGCCAAUCUACACCCCAUGGCCAUUCAAAGUUGUAAAAAUCAUGACGCUGCACCCCACGGCUCACGUUCUAGGGGGCGCCAAAGAUGACCAAAAAAUCCACAUUCUUAAAAGAAUCCACAUCCCCCCCCCCCCACACCCCCCCAAGGCAGGAGAAAAAGUCAAGUUUUUCCUGCCCAUCGCUCAAUGGCUCAAUCGCAUCGCUCUCCCGGCAACACCGUAAGGAGGAGCAACCUGCCAUUUGGAUAUAUCCUAGCUGUGUUUGUGCCCUCACUCAUGGUCCAGACUUUUUUCAAAUAGGACAUGAAGUUUGUCUGCAGCGAGUGUUUUGGUAGAAACUGCGCCUCUCCUUCAUUAUAAUGGGAAAUGACCACAGAAAAGUACGCACACCAUCUUUGGACCUUGAGUGUGACGCGAUCGGGAGGGGGAGGCGGUCGCGCUGGGGGCGGCGCGACGCGGCUCGGGCCCGACAGUGCCCCACCGGGGCCCUAGUUAUUAUUAUUAUUUUUCCUCCCCUUUGAACUGGAAAAUGGCCCACUUCCCACUGGCGAAAACUCAUGAAAUUUGGCAGGACGACCGGGCCUGGUGAAAAAUUUGAUAUUCUGAAGUCGCCCAAACAAGAAAAUGCAAAAUGGCUCCAUAGCGCCCCCUAAGGUGAAAAUUCACACUAUUGACUGUCACGCCGGUACGCUUUGUCAAAAUGACACAAAAAUUGACACACACAUGUAUCUCAAUAAGAUCUACAAAAAAGUCAGUGCGGGCGUAUCUGUCAAAUGUACGGUUAAAGGGUUAUUUCGCAUUUUUUGCCGAUCCGCACACAUUGGAAUUUCGCUAACUCCUCCGAAGGCUUUCGUUCCACCGGCACCACAUUUGCUCAGGCCAAUCUACACCCCAUGGCCAUUAAAAGUUAUUCAAAUCAUGACGCUGCACCCCACGGUUUAGGUUCUAGGGGGCGCCAAAGAUAACCCUAAGAUCCACAUAUUUAAAAGUCUUAUAACUUUUUAUUUUUGCCCUCACUGGCCUCCAAGUUUUCUAGGAUGAUGCAAUGUCCAGCCAUCAACACAUUUGUGAAGGAAUUUUUACUCCCCAAAAGAGCGCCCCCCAUGGCAGGAGAAAAAAGUCCAUUUUUUCUUGUCCCCUAAGGUGAAAAUACACAUUGUUGAGUGUAACACCUGUACGCUUUGGCAAAAUGACACAAAAAUUGACACACACAUGUAUCUCAAUAAGAUCUACGAAAAAGUCAAUGCGCGCGUAUCUGUCAAAUGUACGGUUAAAGGGUUAUUCCGCAUUUUAUGCCGAUCCGCACACAUUGGAAUUUCGCUAACUCCUCCGAAGGCUUUCGUUCCACCGGCACCACAUUUGCUCAGGCCAAUCUACACCCCAUGGCCAUUAAAAGUUAUUCAAAUCAUGACGCUGCACCCCACGGUUUAGGUUCUAGGGGGAGCCAAAGAUAACCGUAAAAUCCACAUAUUUAAAAGUCUUAUAACUUUUUAUUUUUGUCCCCACUGGCCUCCAAGUUUUCUAGGAUGAUGCAAUGUCCAGCCAUCAACACAUUUGUGAAGGAAUUUUUACUCGGCAAAAGAGCGCCCCCCCAUGGCAGGAGAAAAAAGGAAAUUUUUUCUUGUCCACUAAGGUGAAAAUACACAUUGUUGAGUGCUACGCCUGUAUGUUUUGUCGUAUUGACACAAAAUUUUACAUACACGUGUAUUUACAUAAGAUCUUCGAAAAAGUCAAUGGCCACGUAUCUGUAAAAUGUACGGUUAAAGGGUUAUUUCGCAUUUUUUGCAGAUUCGCACACAUUGGAAUUUCGCUAAUUCCUCCGAAGGCUUUCGUUCCACCGGCACCACAUUUGCUCAGGCCAAUCUACACCCCAUGGCCAUUAAAAGUUAUUCAAAUCAUGACGCUGCACCCCACGGUUUAGGUUCUAGGGGGCGCCAAAUAUAACCCUAAAAUCCACAUAUUUAAAAGUCUUAUAACUUUUUAUUUUUGUCCUCACUGGCCUCCAUGUUUUCUAGGAUGAUGCAAUGUCCAGCCAUCAACACAUUUGUGAAGGAGUUUUUUCUCUUUAAAAGAGCGCCCCCCAUGGCAGGAGAAUAAAGUCAAGUUUUUCCUGUUCAUCAUUCAAUGGCUCAAACGCACUGCUCUCUCGGCAAAAGCGAAAGGAGGAGCAACUUGCCAUUUGGAUAUAUCUUAGCUGUGUUUGUGCCCUCACUCAUGGUCCAGACUUUUUUCAAAUAGGACAUGGAGUUUUUCUGCAGCGAGCGUUUUGGUAGAAACUGCGCCUCCCGUUCAUUAUAAUGGUAAAUGACCACAAACAAGUGCGCACACCAUCUUUGGACCUUGAGUGUGACGCGAUCGGGUGGGGGAGGCGGUCGCGCUGGGGGCGGCGUGACACGGCUCGGGCCCGCCAGUGCCCCAACGGGGCCCUAGUUAGGGCCCGAGCGUAGCUGCUAAGCAGCUGCGAGAGCCCUCUUGUUCCUGUAGUUUCCUUCUUUU